GUUGUUCCUUGUCACAUCCAAAACAUGUGAGUUGAGAGUCCAGAGUUAAAUAUUUGAGUUACUCAUAAACAAAUUAUUAUAUCAUUGUAAAUAUUUAAAACGUAUGAAUCCUCGCAUUUCAAAAUGAGUAAGGGUGCGAGAUUUUUCGCUAAAAAGCGUAAAGCGAAUUUGAAAAAAGAUAAUCUACAGGAAGACAAAGUAAUAAAAAGCUUGGAAAAGAAGUUAAAGUUCAACCGAAAAACGAAAGCAAAGCAAACAAAAAAGCAUUUACCAAAAGCUUUUGUUUCAGAUGGACUGGACUAUCUUUUGGAUAUUUGUGAUGAAGAAACGAGAAAAAUUGCUGCAGAAAGUGAAAGAAGGUUGGUGUUGCAAUCAGAUGAUGAAUCGGAUGUCUUUGACAGCGAUAGUAAUAUAGGUUCAAAAACAAAGCCUGCUAAGAAGCAAAAAGUAAGUUCUAGUAAGCAAAAUGAAGCUGAGUUGAAAGUGAAAAAGCGUAAGCAAUCUUUCUCGGAAUUAGAUUCUGAAUUGGACCAUGACGAUUUUGAUGAUAUUAGUGACAGCGAUAUCGAAGUUAGUAAAAAUAAGAAAAAUAAUCAUGGACAGAAAAAAACAAAGAUCUUAAAAAGUUAUGAAUUUGAUUCUGAAUUAGAAAGUAAUGAUGAUAUUAGUGAUGAACCUGCUGAAAUAAUGAAACCGGUAAAAAAGAGUAAAAAUGUGAAACAGAAGACAAAUUCUAAAAAUAAUAAGAAUGCAGUUAAAUCUAAUAAAGAUAAGAAGGUUGCUGACGAAUCACUUGAUGAAGAAGAAAACUUUGGGUCCGACAAUGAUGAUGAACUAUUUAAUUUUUCUGAAGAAGAAUCCAACGUUGAUUCUGACAUCAAAUCUGAUGAACAAGAGGGUUCAGAAAAGGAGGAAGAGGUGUGGGAAGAUAUUUAUGGCAGGAAAAGAAAUAAAGAUGGUUCUGUUGUAGAAGAAAAUAAACAAAAAUAUGUUCCCCCAUCUUUACGAUCAAAGCAAAUGGAAAAUAAUCUUGAAAAGAGCGAAAAAUUAAUUGCAUUGAGAAGACAAGUCAAAGGUCUUUUGAAUAGGUUGGCGGAAAGUAAUAUGCAUGCUAUUGUUUCUCAGUUGGAUGAAUUGUACAUGUCUAACAGUAGAAAUGAUAUGAAUGAAACAAUUACUAAUCUAAUGCUGGAGUCUAUUAUUGCUCCUGUACUGACAGCAGAACGGCUUGUAACAGAACAUAUGAUGUGCAUUGCUAUACUACAUGCAAAUAUCGGUACACAAGUUGGAGCCAAUUUUAUCAUGGUUCUUGUAAAGAAGUUCCAUGAAAUGAUUCAACAACCUCAGAAUGUUGAAAACAAAGAACUUGAUAAUUUGAUUUUAAUGAUAUCUCAUUUGUACAAUUUCAAGGUCUUUGGAUCCCAGCUUAUGUAUCAAAUUCUAGACAAAAUGACAGAGAAGUUUACUGAAAAAGAAAUCGAAAUUAUUCUGUUGGUUUUAAAAACUGCUGGAUUUAGAAUGAGGAAAGAUGAUCCUCUUGCUUUAAAGGCAUUAAUUUUAAAUUUGCAACAAAAAGCAGCUGCAGUAAAAUCUUCAAACUCAAGAAUUCAAUUUAUGCUUGAAGUAUUAUUGGCAAUAAAAAACAAUAAUAUGAACAAGAUUCCACAGUACGAUCAAAGUUAUGUUGAACAUUUAAAGAAGAUCAUAAAAACUUUAAUCAGAAAAGGAAAUACUGUUUCACAACUAAAUCUCUCCCUUGAAGAUUUGUUAAAUGCUGAUGAAAGGGGAAAAUGGUGGAUUAUAGGUUCAGCUUGGUCAGGCAAAGCUUUGCCAAAUGAUAAGUCCAAAAAAUCUACCGAUAAUAAGCCAGUCUAUAGUCAAAAAAUUCUUGCUUUGGCUCGAGCCCAAAGAAUGAACACAGAUGUAAGAAAAAACAUUUUUUGUAUUUUAAUGACAGCUGAAGACUAUUUGGAUGCAUUCGAAAAAUUGCAUCAUUUAGGACUGAAAGAUCGCCAGGAGAGAGAAAUUAUUUAUGUAAUAUUGAAUUGUUGUCUGCAAGAGCAGGCAUUCAAUCCCUAUUAUGCUGUCUUGUUACAAAAAUUCUGUGAAUAUGAUAGAAAAUAUCAAAUGACAAUACAGUAUACGUUAUGGGAUAAGUUGAAAAUGUUGGAUAGUUUCAAAAGUAAACAGGUGAUAAAUAUGGCAAAAAUGAUGUCGUACCUGUUUAUUCAAAAAGCUUUGCCCUUAUCAAUUUUGAAGGUGAUACAACUUGGAGAGUUGGACGCAGCAACGAUGAAGCUCUUCAAGAAAAUUAUGCUGGACAUUUUACUUUAUGAAAAUACAGAAACGUGCCUUCAAGUUUUCGAGAAAAUAUCGGCAUCAACGCAGCUACAUCAAUUCAGAGAAGGACUAAGACUCUUCAUUAAUUACUUCCUUCUCAAGAAUAUUAAGAAGAAUGCAAUGUCCGAUAAGAAAAUGGAACUGUUAGAAGAAAGAAUUGAAUUAGUCGAUAAGAUAUUGACAACGUCAGCGUCGAAACUCGCCUUUUAAUGUACAAUUAUGUAAAUUUUAUUCGAUAUAUUAUACGUAAGAUACAUAAUUUAAUUUUUAUAAAGAAAUCGAAACAUAAAAUAAAAUAUAAAACAAUACUUAGUGACUAUUUAUCUCAUCGAUUUUUUCAUAAGCAAAAUUUCUGUGAUUUCUGGCUCAGUUUAUCGCCGCAUAAGUAGUAAUACUUCAUUUAGUCGCUAAGCGGCAGCACUUUCGGAGCGAUACAAUUGUUUCAAAAUGUAGUAAAUAGCUCUUAGUUGUAAACGAGCUCUUGUCGAGACAUCAUUGUAUUCAAUCUUAAUAAACAAUGAGCAGCAUAAGUGAGAAACUGGAAUCCAUACGUUCCAAAAUUUCUAUGAUAGAAGAAGAAAAGCAAUGUUUCUACGAUUUUGUUGACAACUGGUCGGAAGAGAGUUACAAACCAGAAAAGUACCACGAACUUAAAGUCCGAGUUAGGUAUGCAGAAAAAUUGUCCGACGCCCGUUUCAGUCUUCAAUUGGAAAUAGCCGAGUCCAACGUACGAUAUAUUUUUCAAGAAGAUGCGAGCAAGUUCAAGGGAGAGAAAGAAAAAUUAUUCGUAUACUUAGCGAAAGCUUACGCUAUUAUCGACAAACUCGAUGGUCGGCGUAGAAAUCGUAGCUCGGAACGCAGGCAAGACGACAGACGCGAUGAACAUUUGGUCAAAUAUCGAUAUUAGGAUCUAACGAAAAUGCGCAUUUUGUUAUUUAUAUUUUUAUUGUUAAUAGCUAAUCGAUUAUUAUGUUCGUUUUAUUGUUAUAACGUGUUUGAUAAAUAAAAAGCUAUCUAUUUGUA